CAGGAAAUGAACUUUUUAAUAAUCCAAGGAGGGUGGAAAGCCCUCGGUCCCCUCGGCUCGGGGGGCGCCCAGCCAGGCGGGCUCAGCUUCUCGGGCGCGCCCCCGUCACCCCCUCCCAGGUCCUCUGCGGACAGCGCUGAGGGGGCGCGCGCACGGCAGGGCCUCCUCCGGCCUCUGCGACUGGCGUCCAUCUGUCUGUCCGAGGCUCUGGAACAGAGUUCCAGGAGGAGAACGCGGUGCGCAGAGGAAGCUGCCUUGGCCGAGUCGGUGCCACGGCUGGCAAGGCGGGGGUCUCCCAGCACCACCCCUGAGAGCAGGAGAAGAUGCCACACGGGAGGUCCUUCUGAAUACAAGACCUUUCCCCUCACCGCUGAGAUAAGCUCAAAUUCAAGCCCGGCCGCCACCGAAUGGUUCAAUGCCCAGCGUCCAGACAGGCCCAGAGCGCCGUCUACGCCUAUGCACGGCGGAUCCCCUAGCCUGCAUCGGCCUCGUUCUUAUUGAAAUCCCACUGAAAAGAUUCCGACUCCGACUUGGGCAGGGGAAGACUUCCAUACCCUACGCUCUCCCCCACCUGCACCCUCGCCACACAGGAUAAAAGGCCGCGGGGCGCUUCGAGCGGGGGGCACAAGCAGGAGCGAGCCGGGUUAAGCCGUGCAAAGCCGGUGCACGGGACUAGCCGGCAGGUGCAGCCAGCGCCCGGGCAGCCCUGCUUGGGCGCAUCCGUUGCCGCGACCCGGGGGUGGGGAACCACAGAGACAAAGGCCCCAGCUCUAGGGUGGGAGGGGGGCGCGUCGCAAAGCUCUGGAAAGCCGGGUCUCCAGGUCCAGAGCUCCGGAAAAACGGAAGACAGGAGGCCCCAGGCGGGCCUUUGGGUUUCCGGAUGACCUGGGUUUGAGGCACUGGAAGGAUUGUGCGAUCCGGUUGUUGGGAAGGCCCAGCCUGGGACCGGGAGGCUCGGGACGGCGCGGGCCGAGUGCAGGAACUUACCGACUGCGGCGCGGUGGGCGGCGCCCUCGGGCGGCUACGGCCAGGGCUCAGAAAGGAGGCAGCGGUGUGCGCAGCGUGGCUGGUCGGCCCUCGGGAGCCAGGGCGGCCGCGGCGGUCACCAGUGGGGCCCCGCGGAGCGGAACGCAAGCUAGUCGUGUAGGCGGCCGCUUUUGUCCCCCCAAGACCAGCUAUGGUUGAGGUGAUCUCAGGCCAGAGAGACCUGAGCAGUGAGCUACCGCCUCGCUGGCCUGGCUACCUCUCUUGAUUCUGGCUGCCUCUCGGUUCCCGGCCGCAGAGCGGCAGCUUUUUAUUUCGACAUCACUUCGAGGGGGAGGGAACGCCGCAGGGGG
rnacentral:lncRNA from 1 species